rnacentral:rRNA from 1 species
ACGAACGCUGGCGGCGUGCUUAACACCUGCAAGUCGAACGAAAAGAGGGAAAGAGCUUGCUCUUUCCGGAAUUGAGUGGCAAACGGGUGAGUAACACGUAAACAACCUGCCUUCAGGAUGGGGACAACAGACGGAAACGACUGCUAAUACCGAAUAAGUUCCAAGAGCCGCAUGGCCCAUGGAAGAAAAGGUGGCCUCUACCUGUAAGCUAUCGCCUGAAGAGGGGUUUGCGUCUGAUUAGCUGGUUGGAGGGGUAACGGCCCACCAAGGCGACGAUCAGUAGCCGGUCUGAGAGGAUGAACGGCCACACUGGAACUGAGACACGGUCCAGACUCCUACGGGAGGCAGCAGUGGGGAAUCUUCCGCAAUGGGCGAAAGCCUGACGGAGCAACGCCGCGUGAGUGAUGACGGCCUUCGGGUUGUAAAACUCUGUGAUCCGGGACGAAAAGGCAGAGUGCGAAGAACAAACUGCAUUGACGGUACCGGAAAAGCAAGCCACGGCUAACUACGUG